rnacentral:rRNA from 1 species
GACGAACGCUGGCGGCGUGCUUAACACAUGCAAGUCGAGCGGUAAGGCCCUUUCGGGGUACGACGAGCGGCGAACGGGUGAGUAACACGUGGGUGACCUGCCUUUAGCUCUGGGAUAAGCCUGGGAAACGUGGGUCUAAUACCGGAUAUGACCUCAUGAUGCAUGUUGUGGGGUGGAAAGCCUUGUGCGGCUGGAGAUGGGCCCGCGGCCUAUCAGCUUGUUGGUGGGGUGAUGGCCUACCAAGGCGA